rnacentral:lncRNA from 1 species
CCUGCAGAGGCGUGGGGCAGGGCUCGUGGGAUGAUCUGGGGUCUGUCCCCCACCCCACAGACCCAGCCCAGCCCUGGGCUCCACUAUGGAUGCCCCGGUGAUCUGGGCUCAGCCAUCCCCCGGCGUCUCCGAGGCAGGCACUAUGGAUGCCCCGUUUCACAGACAAGGAGACUGAGGCUCUGGGAGGCCCCCAGCCAGGAGGUAGGGAGCUUGGUGCAGGACCGGUAUGGACCCCUCCCCAGCCGUGCUCCCCUGGGGUGUCCCUCAGGACCCCUACAGGCCUUCAAGGAGGUCUUGGGUCCCGACACACCUGUCCCUGCUGGAUCAGGGCGUCCACAUAGCUGCGCACGGGGUCCCCCGGGCACAUGUGGGGCCUCCGCGCCUCCAGGAGGGUCCUCAGAAUGGCACGGACCUCCUCAAUCUUGCGCAGGACGGGCCGGUGCAGCUGGAGCAGGGCCCCGAGCCACGGGUAGACGUUGAACAGCUGGGCAGGAGGCAGGAGGAGCGGAGAUAAGGACACAGCCCCAGGGCUGCACACUGGGCAGGCGGUGAUCGUCCCCAGCGGCUGUGUUCACGCCCAGGGACUCUGGGUGGAUGUGCUGGAGGCGGCCACAGAACGGGGACCCUUAGCCCUCAAGGGAGGACCAGGCGCCUCUGUGGUAAGGAGCUGGCACCAGCAGGGAAGGCCAGGGAAUGCUCUGCUGCCCUGGGGCUGCCCCGGACCACGCAGUGCCAUGCAGCCUCCAUCUUCCAGUGGGAGGGCCGAGAAGCUGAGAGGG